CAUGCAAGUCGAACGGUAACGGAAAGCAUAAUCCUUCGGGUGCAUGCUUUGACGACGAGUGGCGGACGGGUGAGUAAUACAUAGGAAUCUGCCCAGUAGCGGGGGAUAACUUAGGGAAACUUGAGCUAAUACCGCAUACGCCCUACGGGGGAAAGCAGGGGAUCUUCGGACCUUGCACUAUUGGAUGAGCCUAUGUCAGAUUAGCUAGUAGGUGGGGUAAGGGCCCACCUAGGCAACGAUCUGUAGCUGGUCUGAGAGGACGAUCAGCCACACUGGGACUGAGACACGGCCCAGACUCCUACGGGAGGCAGCAGUGGGGAAUAUCGGACAAUGGGGGCAGCCCUGAUCCAGCAAUGUCGCGUGUGUGAAGAAGGCCUGCGGGUUGUAAAGCACUUUCAAUCGUGAAGAAAAGCUUACGGCUAAUACCCGUAAGUCUUGACGUAAUCGAUACAAGAAGCACCGGCUAACUCCGUGCCAGCAGCCGCGGUAAUACGGAGGGUGCGAGCGUUAAUCGGAAUUACUGGGCGUAAAGAGCACGUAGGCGGUUUGGUCAGUCGGAUGUGAAAGCCCUGGGCUUAACCUGGGAAUUGCAUUCGAUACUGUCAGGCUAGAGUUUGGUAGAGGAAUGCGGAAUUCCGGGUGUAGCGGUGAAAUGCGUAGAGAUCCGGAAGAACAUCAGUGGCGAAGGCGGCAUUCUGGGCUAAAACUGACG
rnacentral:rRNA from 1 species